rnacentral:rRNA from 1 species
GAUGGACGCUAGCGGGAGGCCUAACACAUGCAAGCCGAGCGGUAGAGUUUCUUCGGAAACUUGAGAGCGGCGCACGGGUGCGUAACACGUGUGCAACCUACCUUUAUCUGGGGGAUAGCCUUUCGAAAGGAAGAUUAAUACCCCAUAAUAUAAUGAUUGGCAUCAAUUAUUAUUGAAAACUCCGGUGGAUAGAGAUGGGCACGCGCAAGAUUAGAUAGUUGGUGAGGUAACGGCUCACCAAGUCAAUGAUCUUUAGGGGUCCUGAGAGGGAGAUCCCCCACACUGGUACUGAGGCACGGACCAGACUCCUACGGGAGGCAGCAGUGAGGAAUAUUGGACAAUGGGUGAGAGCCUGAUCCAGCCAUCCCGCGUGAAGGAUGACGGUCCUAUGGAUUGUAAACUUCUUUUGUACAGGGAUAAACCUACCCUCGUGAGGGUAGCUGAAGGUACUGUACGAAUAAGCACCGGCUAACUCCGUG